GUUUGUCUUUGAGCUUCACUCCCAGGCUCAGGUCUCCAGUUUCUUGUUUAAUGUCAUAAUUAGAAGAAAGUCUUGAGAAGAUUUUUGUCCUGACUGAACAGAUUUUUGACCAGCCAACUAGCAAGCCAUGCAUUGUCCUCAUCCUUACACUCCCUGCAAUAUGGCUCCUUGUGUGGGACAAGGCUGUGACCUGGAUAGCUUCCAAACUGGCUGGAAGAAAGUGUGUGACUUCAAUGUGAGUAUAUUUUGCACAUGAAGAACCACAGAUUCUUCACCUGAGAUUCACAUCUAACAAGUGGGGUCUUCUUUCCUCCAGUAGAGCAGUGGUCAAACGGACAGCAUUUAAGGGAUUACUGAAGAAGCACGAGACAAUUAUCAGCAAUCCAAGGCAUUCUUCUAUCAAAAGUGUUUUCAGCUAAUUUGGAUUAUACUAUUUGAGUAGGAAAGAUAAAAAUCAGAAGACAGAACCUGGUCACCAUCACUUUGCAGAUUGCUUGAAUGCUUGGAAGAUCACCUGAGUGCCUGCACCAAUCCUGUGUCCAUCUUAUGUUGAAGGGAGCAUCGAGGCUCUUUCCAUGGUUAAGAUGAUUGAGCAAAAAGGAUCCAUUCACAGCUCCGGCAACAUCUCUGGAAUAACUGUGUGAAGGAACUCUGCCAAGAGCUGGAAUUGCAGUUAACAUAGAAGCUUGAGGCAUAGAUAGCUGUAUCAUCUGGUUAAUAACUGCCAUUUGAAGGAGUCUGCAACACAGUGUGACCAAUUGCCUCAGUGUGUCCAGGUCUAUCCUAGUUUCCUGAGGCACAUACUUCCCAUCUUACAAGUGGAAAUAGAGCAAAAACCAUAUACACAGGCUCUUGGGAUUUGAAUGUGAAAUGAUGCUCAAAUGUUGGACUACUUAUCCUCACUUUGGGGAGCAGCUUGGAGCACAGAUAUCUGUACCAUCUGCUUAGAAACUUCCAUUUGAAGAAGUUUGCAAUAUGGUGUGAUCAAGUUGCUUCGGAGGUAAAGGACUUUUAAGACUGUGGCCUUGUUAGCAGGAAAAGGUAGCUGGGGGUGGGCCUGGAAGAUGAUCUCUACCUUAAUUCCAGCUAAGCACUCUGGUUCCUGGUUCUGCAAGAUGUGAACAAAUGUCUUAGUCAGGGUUUCUAUUCCUGCACAUAAACAUUAUGACCAAGAAGCAAAUUGGGGAGGAAAGGGUUUAUUCUGCUUAGAAGUCUACAUUGCUGUUCGUCACCAAAGGAAGUUAGGACCAGAAUUCAAGCAGCUCAGGAAGCAGGAGCUGAUGCAGAGGUCAUGGAGAGAUGUUACUUACUGGCUCAGCUUGCUUUCUUGUAGAACCCAAGACUACCAGCCUAGGGAUGGCCCCACCCACAAUGGGCUCUUCCACCCUUGAUCACUAAUUGAGAAAAUGCCUUACAGCUGGAUCUCAUGAAGGCAUUUCCUCAAGGAAAGCUCCUUUCUCUGUGAUAACUAAGCUUGUGUCAAGUUGACAUACAAAAUCAUCCAGUACAACAAGUCACGUUAUAACCUCUCAAUGUCACUGAAUGAGACCCACCAUGCCUUUCUUGUAAUGAUAGACCAAUACCUCUAAAACAGCAGUUCUCAAAGGUCAUGGCCUCUUUGGGGUACAAAGAGUAUCACAUAUCAGAUAUCCUGCGUAUCAAAUAUUUAAUUAUGAUGAUUCAUAACAUAGCAAAAUUAUAGUUAUGAAGUAGCAAUGAAAAUAAUUUUAUGGUUGGGAUCUUAACAAUAUGAAGAACUGUAUUAAAGGGCUGCAGCAUUAGGAAGGUUGAGAGCCACUGCUUUAAAACAUUAUCAUUGUGUCACAGUGACACAAUGACCGAAGUUAACUGGACUGGAUGGGUCUGAAUAACACAACACUUAAGUCAGUCUGGGAAGGCCCACCCACCCAGUCUGUCACUCAUUAUCAAUUUCAACUUGCAUGUGUUGAGAAAGCAUCUUCUUAGACUCCUAGCUGGAUUAGCUCACUGGGCUAACCUGGUACAAGGAAUUGGACAUUUUGGUGGGCCAACAUCGAGAAGGAUAGAUUCGAGAAAGACUAGAGUAGAUUAUGUAUGAUCUCUAGCACCUGGCACUGACCCCCUUCCCUCCACUUCAUAUAUUUUCUCCCUCAAGACAGGAUAUGGUGAAGUGGAUUCUGUCCAAGAGGAGAGCGAGGGCCUUCAGGAAAAACAGGUCUCUAUUCAGGGAAAUAAAGCCUUGAAACAUCUCUGGAUUGCCCAUUAAGCAGCACUGUAAGAGGUGGACUGAUUCUUGCCACAUGGAAACUCUUCAUGAUGAAGGGUUAAUGCAGGACUUUUAAAAAGUGCCCCCUGUUUCCAAACUGAAUAGUUUGUCUAGAAGGAGGGAUUUUGUUUUCUUUUCAGACUGGACCUAAAUUUGGCAUCCUAUGGAAGUUUUACUUUAUUCCAUCAGCACUCAGCCAAGUCUCCUGGGUCAGGAACAGCAGCUGAGAAAAGUUGAAUGAAUGGCCCAUUUUCUCUCUUCAUUCCUAUCCUUAAUUCCAUAUGUUUCUCAAUUUCUCACUUAUAAAUUUAAUUAGAUAAAUAUUUUUAAAUGUGGAAGGUGGAGACUUUGAGAACUCGAUGGAUUUGAAAUAAACUUUUGUGGCUCGUGGCACUUUCAGCCUCUGCUAUGCAUUUAGAGAAACAAGCAGCGGAGAGCCAUUGUAAGGAAGAAGGAUCGGGGUUUACUGGAAGAGAUCUUUGUGCCUAAACACCGGGGUAGGGAAGCCAUAGGAAUGUGGAUAGCCCUGGGAGAUAACACUCUUACAAUAAGUGGGUAAUUGUGUUUAUGGGAAUGGAGAUAUUUAUAUGAUUGGUUUCUUGGAUUAACUUCAGGGAAAUGAGAAAACGCUCACUGAGUGUUUACUUGGAAUUUCGUUAGAGGUGCACUUUGUCUCCUGUGUCAGCACCAGAUCCCCAGGAAUGAGACUGCAGAUGUCUUAGACAAGGUUUCAGGGAAAUGCCUCAAAGUGAUCCAAAAGGGAAACAAAGCUUGCGCUUGCUCGAGCCUAAUGUUACAGGAGGUGCUAACUCAGUGUUUGUUGACUGUGUGGCCUUCAGCCAGGAAGUGAAACUCGAAGCAUUUAGCGGGCUUUUAGAAUGAGGCUUCCUUUUCAUGGAGGUGUGGAUGGGACGGGCUAGCAACUCUGAAACUACUCUCUGAAUUUUAGCACUGAGCAAAAACCAGGGAUCUCUACUAUAGACAGUGUUCUCACAAUAAGGCCCCCUUAUUCUCAUGUUAAUGAUAAGAGAGAGAAUAAAUCCAAUGGUAUCAAGUUAGCGCUGGAGUUCUCUCAUGAGCUCAUAUUCCGAACAUAGACCUCCAGAGGGACUGAUUGAUGUGUCUGGUUAUAAAUAUGGAGAUGAAGACCCACUACAGGCGUGUGCAUUUGUGUGUUUGUAUUCUAGCUCUAUCAUUUUAUGAGGCCUACCUAACAGUAAUGAGUCAUGGUAGCAAUGAACAUGUCAAGCAUCCAGGCUCAGUUCUUAAACACAUUCUCUACUAAGAGGAAUUUGAACUCUUUGAAGAACUGGUGGACUCCGUGCCCAAGGGAAGAAAAGUAAAAGACAAGCCUACAGCAUCUUUUCAGUUUAGAAAGUAACAAGAGACUCAAAACAAGAUGAGAGAAAGGACAGAGGUUUCAGCUUGUGGGAGCUUCUAUUGGUCAGCUCUGAGAGCGAGCUAGAUAAGGGGUUAAUUAUUAUUUUAAAUAUUGUAGCUUAUUGACUGAAAGCGGAAUCCACUGUCAGCUAAAGGAGAAUGAGGGAAAGGCCAUCUUUCUAUCCAAAAGCCAACUAAUACACGAAGCAGGGAUGAUGAAAUGAAAAAAUUACCAUUUGGCAGAAGGAGCGUGUGGGUCUAGACAGUGAGGGUUUUCCAAACCAGUUUAUAGGAUCUCCAUGAAGCUGCUGACUGACUUUUGAGGAGCAAAGUAUUCGAGUUUUUGCAGGACUAAUUAUAAACCUAGGCAGUGACAUGUCUCACUAAUGGGACUGUGUCAAAGGCUACCAUUUAGGAUGAUGUGUUGGGUGUGGAUGUAGGGUCCCUGCCCUGCCAUGAACACUGGUGAUUUCACCCCAUGUUCAUACUGAGCCUAAACACUGAAGGCAAGUUAAAGAGUCCCUUAUAACUUAGUCAGGUCCUUUGGCUCUAAUAGACACCAGUUUGCUCAGAGGUAUCGAGCACAUAUUGUCUCACCUACAGACUCUUGAGCUAUGUCGUGUUUAUAAGGUAAAUGGGGUAAAAGAACAAAGUGGUUGGGGAGAUGCUCAGUCAUCAGUGCCUGUUGUGCAAGCCUGUGGUCUUGAGUUCAGUCCCUGAGAACCAACAUCAAAGUUGGUCCUAGCAGCAUACACUUGUAACUCCAUUGCUGGGGAGGCAGAGAAAGACAGAUCCUUGUGGUCAGUCAAAUUGAUGAGAUCUAGGUCCCAGUGAGAGAGCCAGUCUCAAGAAAUAAGAUAGAAAGCAUUUGAAGAAGGACUCCUGAGGUUGGCCACUAGCCUCCACAGGCAUAGACACCAAUGUACACCCAUGUAUUUGCAUGCACUCUUGCACACACACACACUUGAUAAACCAGUCACCCAGGAGACAGGAAAAAAUACCUGUUUCCAUGUUAUAAUCUAGUUUUACUGCAGGACAGAAAGGUGGGAGUGUGUUGCUGCUCAUAAUCUGGAGAAAUUCACAAGUUCAUUCAGCUCUGCUCAAUUCUGUCUUCUCUCCCAUGUAGGUAUGACGGGGAACGUGCUCUAUGAAACAGAACCCUAGAAACACUUACUGAAUUUGAACUUUGUGUUGCUUUCUGAUAUCCGUGCUUGGGAUUCUGAAUGACUCCAGUUGGAUUUGAUUGGACCCAGGGUAGCGAGAGAAAUGAGGGGACAAGGCAUACACAUAGUGCAUAAGCAGGUCAGCCAACCUCAUAAACAGGCACCUCACUAGAAACAUCUGCACAGCCUUUUAGUGAAGAGUUGGGUAUCUAGAGCUAUCAUGAUUGAGUGGGAAGGAGAUCACUGCCUCCCUCAGGAGGCCUUCCUGAGAUUUGUGAGAUGGCAAGAAUGAGAUUGGGAAGUGGGGAGACAGAAGGCCUCGUCCUGUCCUGAGCAUCGAGUCCCUGCUGGCUCUCAGAGUCUGCUCACUCUUGCAAGGUCACACACUUUUAUUUAUGUUACAGUCAGGCUGAAAGAGACAUGGAGCACUCUGGGGGUAUUAACCAGGAAGAAAUACAAUUCAGAUUUAAGCAGAGGAAAGAGAAGCCUCAGCCAGCUGCAUGGGAACAGGAAGGACAUUACAUGCUACUUUAGCUGGUCUCUUUCCUGCUGGGGCAAGUCAAUGCGUAAAUGAUAAAAUUUAUAGUGCAUGGAGGGUUGAGAGCCAGACUCGCAUCAUUUGAGUCUGAAUUCCGGUCCUGAAUAGAGUGCUUAUUGUCUCCCUUGGUCCCCCUCUUCCAAUGGAACCAGUCUCUGCCGGGUAGCAUCACAGAGUCUUCUCACAGAGUUGGAGGUAUUAGCAAAGCAGGGCUUGGUUUGGAGAGUGAGACAUUGACACUGAUCUUUAGUUAAAAUGGUCUCUUCUCAGGAAGACUCAUGACAUCAUACAUUUCUAGAACAGGACAGAUCUUCAAAAACAUGAACUGCAAGUUUCCUAUCCAUAGUGGAAGGUGGAAACGGAAGGAAGAAGGCAUGGUCCGGUCUUUCAGGAAGACUCUGCAGGAAGGAUACCACGGACAAGGGCUGAAAAUCUAAAUCCAACUCUGAAAACAUCACGUGACAGACACUGCCUUACCAUGUACACACCCAGAUGAUCCAACUUUCAUGUCAAUGACAGUGUUCAUCUGAAAAAGACCCAGCUUGACCCCUUACCUAAGUCACCUGAGAGAUGGGAGCCAAAUCCACUUCCUGUUCAGGUGUCAUAGAAAGGAGAGCCCAUUCUGUCCCUAGACUCAGUGCUGCCAAGACCCUGAGGGCUUGAGAAAAAGAAUUCUAAUGAAGUUUUUGUUUUGCUUUGUUUUGUUUUUCAAACAAUAGUGACUUUGUUGGCACAAUCAAGAAGCCCUCAAAGCAUGUGAGUGUGAGGGAUGGUGGUGAGUAAUGUGGUUUUAAAAUGAAGUCUUGAGUAUUGGCCCUUGCUUUUGAAGCACUUCUCUAUCAACUGCCUCAGAGGAUAAAAUGAAAUAGUUGGGCAAAGUGUUCAGUACUGUCUUUCUACUAUUUGUUUAAAAUGCAUUGAUGCUAUCUCAUCACUUCUGUUUCUAGAAUAAAUCAAAGCCAGCAUUUUGAUAGCUUUUUAAAGAUGUGUACGCAUGUGCAUAUACGUGUGUGUGUGUGUGUGUGUGUGUGUGUGUGUGUGUUAAGUGUGCAUGUGAAGGGGACAGAGGUCAUUGUUGAAUUCCUCUAUUGCUUUCUGCCUUGUUGUCAAAAGCAAGGUCUCUCACUAAGCCUGCAGCUUACUCUCAGGACAAGAGCAGUGGGCCAUCGGGAUCUAGAAACACUUCUGUCUUUGCCUCCCCAGUGUUAGGGGACAAGCAUGUACCAUUUCACCCAGCCUUUUAUAUUUGCCGAGGAUCUCACCAUUGGUCUUCAUGUUUGUGUGGCAAUCGCUUUAAUGAGAUGGCUCCAGGGAAAGGCACUGUAUCUCCUGCCAAGCCUGGCAACUUAAGUUUAAUCUCUGAGACCUACAGUAUGGAGAGUUGUAAGUUGAGCUCUGUCUUCUACAUAUGCACCAGGAUGCCUGUGUGUCCCCAAAUAAAAUAAAUAGAUGUUUUA
rnacentral:lncRNA from 1 species